UGCAUCUCCAUUGAUUAGCUUUUGUCAAAGAUUUAUAACAGUAAUGAGAUAUAUGACUGGUGCAUAUCUCACACACACACACACACACACACACACACACAUUUUUGGUUGAAUUUUCCUGUGUGAACCACAUUGAAGUUAACUUUCUUUUCAAGCUCAUGUUGUCUCUUUCCUGAUACAUACAUUCCAGUGUAAUUGGCAGCCUGUCUUCCUAUCACAUGAAAAACAAACAAACAAAACACAAAAACAGAAAUUGUAUCUUUAAAUGGUGUUUUAUUCUGAGAAGAGGGGAUCAUCAUCCUGAAGAUCUGUUCUCCAGCUCUUCUUUCCUCAGAAGGCUAUACAGGGAGAAGACAGGAAAGCCGUCAGUCAUUUCAAAGUGCCAGUGUCAAAGACUGCUAGCAUGCAGCUAGAAGAGUCUCUCUUCCCUAACUGUGGAUUUCAUCUCUUGCAUCCUGCUUCUUCUUGAGGAGAUCACUCCCUGCCCAACUCAGCUAAGCUCCCAGUCAACUAGAAAUGGACUUUGAGUUCUCAGCAGCAGAGCUAUUCAAAGACAGAUGGCUUAGGACUCAAAGGGGAUGGACACCUGCAGUGGUCAAAGCCAGGGGACAUCCAAAGGGUUAGAGAUGAGAACUAAGGGAUGGAGCCUGGCGUCAUGGCAUGGAGCUGGCUUGGGAAAUGGAAACAUGAUACCAGCUGGAAAUGUAAAUGUUGUAGUAGAAACAGCUUCGGAGAAACAGCAGUGACAAGAUAUGCAGCCCUUACCCUCUCACAGAACUUAUAACCUGGAUGAGCUGUGUCAGCGGUAAUACUAGGCAUAACUGCUGGUAUACUGGUAGGUGAAAAAAUCACUGGGCCUUCAGGGGACGGGUGUGAUAAAGACAUCCCAUUUAGAGCUGAGCACUCCGAAGCCUCUCAUUUCUGUUUCCAGUUGUGGGUCUCUGUGUUCAUUACCACCUAAUACAAGAAGAAACUUCUCUGAUGAGAACUGAGCAAGACUUAUACUUACUGUUAAGAAACAGGAAAGGAUAAUUUUGGUAGGAAGCACUUUUUGGCUUCUUUAACUUGAUUUGUUAUUUGAAAUGAGCAUACAUGGGAAAGGGAGCAAUGAGGCGGAUGA
rnacentral:lncRNA from 1 species